CCUACGGGAGGCAGCAGUGAGGAAUAUUGGUCAAUGGGCGCGAGCCUGAACCAGCCAAGUAGCGUGAAGGAUGACUGCCCUACGGGUUGUAAACUUCUUUUAUAAAAGAAUAAAGUGAGGCACGUGUGCCUUUUUGUAUGUACUUUAUGAAUAAGCAUCGGCUAACUCCGUGCAAGCAGCCGCGGUAAUACGGGGGAUCCGCGCGUUAUCCGGAUUUAUUGGGGUUAAAGGGAGCGUAGAUGGGUUGUUAAGUCAGUUGUGAAAGUUGGCGGCUCAAACGUAAAAUUGCAUUUGAUACUGGCAGUCUUGAGUACAGUAGAGGUAGGCGGAAUUCGUGGUGUAGCGGUGAAAUGCUUAGAUAUCACGAAGAACUCCGAGUGCGAAGGCAGCUUACUAAACUGCCACUGACAUUGAUGCUCGAAAGUGUGGGUAUCAAACAGGAUUAGAUACCCGGGUAGUC
rnacentral:rRNA from 1 species